AAAAUCCGUCGACUUUAGAAAUCGUGAGGGUUCAAGUCCCUCUAUCCCCCCAAAAAGACCGAUUUGACUAUUUCUCCUACCCUCUCUUUUUUUUUAGUGGUUCAAAAUUCGUUCUCUUUCUCAUUCAUUCUACCUUUUUACAAACGUAUCAGAGCAGAAUUUUUUUUCUUUUAUCACAAUCACAAGUGGUGUGGUAUAUAUGAUAUACGUACAAAUGAACAUCUUUGAACAAAGAAUCCCGAUUCACAAUUCAUAUCAUUGCUCAUACUGAAACUUAUAAAUUAUUCUAUUCAAGAAAUCGAAUUCCACGCUCAAGACUUUUAAUACUUUUUUUAUCUUUUUUAAUUGACAUAGACCCCAGUCAUCUAGUAAAAUGAGGAUGAUGCGCCGGUAAUGGUCGGGAUAGCUCAGCUGGUAGAGCAGAGGACUGAAAAUCCUC
rnacentral:tRNA from 1 species